CCCGUGUCUCUGGGACCUCAGUUUCCUCAUCCAAUUACAAACAAAAGGGAAGUGAGGAGUCUAUUAAUAGAGUUUGCGUAUUAUGUGUCAGACGCUCUGCCAAGCCCUUUGCAAACAGCAUGACCUCUAACUCCUCACACCAAUUCUCCCAGGGAGGUGUUAUUAUCAUCCUCUGGUAUCUGCAGAUGAGGAAAACAGGCUUUGCAGGAUUUGAACCCAGCUGUCUGGCACCCACUCCAAUGCUUUUAGCCACCGUGGUUCAUGGCCCCGCCCCGGAGCAGGAUCUCUGGUACACGGCCUGGAAGAGAGCCCUGAGGCCCACCAAUAGUGACUUCUCACGAGCUGCUCACCAGCGCUCCUUGGGGGCCCUCGAGCACCCCCAAGUCCCACUCGUGGAUCGGAAGCAGCGGAGAGCUGGAGGGUUAAGAGGACAUGAGAAUGGCAUGACAGAUCCUCAGCCACGAGGAUCAGCACAUGUGAGAAGGAUGAUCCCAGAAAAACGGGCCCUCCCCUCAGCCCACGCCUUGAUUCUGCUCCAGAACGCGGAGGAUGCAGAACUUCAAGAGGGCUGUGGCGAAGGUGUUGGCCAGCUCAGUGGACCCGGCACUUUGGCGUCAGAACUUCAGAUUCGACCUGAGCUAACAUCUGUGCCAGUCUUCCUUUAUUUUGUAUGUGGGUUGCUGCCACAGCAUGACUGCUGACGAGUGGCGUAAGUCCAUGCCUGGAAACUGGACCUGGGCUGCCAAAUUGGAGCAUGCCAAACUUAACCACUAGGCCACAGGGCCAGCCCCUACUGUCUUUUUAUCCCUUGGCUGAACACUGCCAGCCCCUGGCUUAGCUGUGCUAUGAAACAGUUUUAAAUUAUUUUUUAUUAGAAUAACAAAUUUAGAGUCUAUACCUAUAAUGGAUCACUGUUUAAAAACAAAAAUUCUAAAAAAAAAAAAUUAAUGCUGAAAUACAAAUUAAUAG
rnacentral:lncRNA from 1 species